AUGGCGCGCCGGGAUUCAGGCAUGUAAACAUAAACAAACGACCAGUUCAGAUUGGAAUUUCACUUCUAAGUUACUCCGGUAGUCGCGCAGCCUGGCGAAUCUUUGGCACUAAUUGAAAAUCUGGACAUUUUUGCUUGAAGGGCUUGCAAGCGUUCUCACUAAGUAGGUAUUUGGCAAAAAUGAUGUUUUAUCAAUACCACAAGGAGACAUCAACCCAUCAUGAAACACCGAAGAUGACAAAAUGAAAUCAUUCCAGACUACCGAUGUUCAUAUGGAGGCCGAGCGAAUCGAUCCAUUUGUUCGCUCGAAGUACACUGAAAAUUUACACGGUGGAGAAUGUUACCCGCCGAAGUUUUCUACCCCUUCUACUCUACUCUACGAUACAGGCUUCAGUACGCCCGUGAACUCAUACUCAGUUCGAAUGGUUCAUUACAAGUUUCUAUCCGUAGUGCAAGGAAGGUGCUGUGACCACUAAGUUUGGCUAGAUCAAUGCCAUUUGCUUCUAUCGAAUCCGUUUCGGAAAAUUUGUUUUUGCCGGUACUAUCAAAUGGAAUGAAAUCCGACGUGGAUUUACAGCGAAUCGAAGGUUGAGCUAAAAUGUCCUCAUUACCUGUGAUGAUUGAAAAUAUCAUCUAGUUGUUGUUAUAAGGUAUGCUAAUGAUUUAUCUAGUUGUUGUUAUAAGGUAUGCUAAUAAAUUUGAUUAGGCCUAGAAAUUCAUUCUCUAUAUGAAAAUCUUGUGAAAAUAACUUAAAGAAGACAAAAACAGAAGAGUUUUAUAUUUCAUAUGAUCUUAUAUAUUUGACUAGCUAUUGAUACACCAUCCCAGUCAACUCGUCUGGAAAUUCAUUCGGAAUUCAGUAUAAUUUCCAAAUGGGUCCCGAAUCAGAUGUACAAACCGAUUUUGACAGGGAUCUUAAC